GACGAACGCUGGCGGCGUGCUUAACACAUGCAAGUCGAACGAUGAAGAAGAGCUUGCUCUUCGGAUUAGUGGCGAACGGGUGAGUAACACGUGACUAACCUGCCCCUUUCUCUGGGAUAACGCUCCGAAAGGAGUGCUAAUACCGGAUACUCACAUCGAGGCACAUGCCUUGAUGUGGAAAGUUUUUCGGAAAGGGAUGGAGUCGCGGCCUAUCAGCUUGUUGGUGAGGUAACGGCUAACCAAGGCGACGACGGGUAGCCGGCCUGAGCGGGCGACCGGCCACACUGGGACUGAGACACGGCCCAGACUCCUACGGGAGGCAGCAGUGGGGAAUAUUGCACAAUGGGCGAAAGCCUGAUGCAGCGACGCCGCGUGAGGGAUGAAGGUCUUCGGAUUGUAAACCUCUUUCAGUAGGGACGAAGCGAAAGUGACGGUACCUAAAGAAGAAGCACCGGCUAACUACGUGCCAGCAGCCGCGGUAA
rnacentral:rRNA from 1 species